GGUGGUGCUCUUUAUGCUUUGGGUCUUAUUCAUGCGAACCAUGGCAAGGGCAUCAAACAAUUCCUUCGAGAUAGCCUACGUAGCACAAACGUAGAGGUUAUUCAACAUGGUGCAUGCUUAGGUCUGGGUUUGGCAGCUUUAGGAACUGCUGAUGAAGAUAUAUAUGAUGACAUCAAAAGCGCUUUAUAUACUGAUAGUGCUGUUGCUGGUGAAGCUGCUGGUAUCAGUAUGGGUUUGCUUAUGGUUGGAUCUGCAAGUGAGAAAGCAAGUGAGAUGCUU
rnacentral:misc_RNA from 1 species